ACGGGAGGCAGCAGUGGGGAAUAUUGCGCAAUGGGGGAAACCCUGACGCAGCGACGCCGCGUGAGUGAAGAAGUAUUUCGGUAUGUAAAGCUCUAUCAGCAGGGAAGAAAAUGACGGUACCUGACUAAGAAGCCCCGGCUAACUACGUGCCAGCAGCCGCGGUAAUACGUAGGGGGCAAGCGUUAUCCGGAUUUACUGGGUGUAAAGGGAGCGUAGACGGCUUUGCAAGUCUGAAGUGAAAGCCCGGGGCUCAACCCCGGAACUGCUUUGGAAACUGCUAAGCUAGAGUGCAGGAGAGGUAAGUGGAAUUCCUAGUGUAGCGGUGAAAUGCGUAGAUAUUAGGAGGGACACCAGUGGCGAAGGCGGCUUACUGGACUGUAACUGACGUUGAGGCUCGAAGGCGUGGGGAGCAAACAGGAUUAGAUACCCUGGUA
rnacentral:rRNA from 1 species